UAAUUACAUACUCCACACAUUCCAUACGGAUAUAAACACUUAUACCGGAGACUUGAAUACAAAUAGCUGACAUGCUCUCACCAGAGUUUUAUUUCUUAACAUGCUAGAGUGGUACACUGCUGAGUUAAAUAAAACUACUGAAGGCUGCUGUACUUUUUUAAUAUUAUUGUAUAAUUUUCAGGUUUAUAAUGAUGAAUAUGGAAGAGACGAAAACCGAUCGUAAAGAGGAAUGGGCUGAAAAAUCCACAUGAAGUUCGGCGUGGUGUUAUAUUAUAUUCUCACUGAAAUGUACAACUAUUUAAAUCGCAAAUGAAUAAAAUAUUGUAUUUUAUGAAAAUGACGAUGAAGCAGUAAUGUAAAUAGAGAUGGCCUUGCUAGAGAAAAAACAAACUUCUAAAAGAAGAAAAAUGUAAACUAAAUUAAAAAUAGUGAAAAGCAAAUUACAGGAAAUGGAAAUCAAUUAAGGAUAACACAUAAGCAGGAUAUAAAUUAUGUUGCAACAAUCGCAAGAACAAUAUGAAUAAAAAACGUAAGAUAAGAAGAAAACCUUUGUCAAAAACACAAGAUAGUUUUGAAGAACAUGAUCUUAAAUUAGAACAACUAAUUGGCAACAAUUAAAAACAUAUAUACAGUAAACAAACCAUUGUAAUGUUAAAAAAGAAACUUGUUGUCAAACUCACAGGGAUUCUUACAAAAAGAAACUGAAUUUUCAGUAAAUGAAUCUACUAAAAAGUUACAAAGCUCAUCCUCUAUAGUUGAAGCAGGUAUAUCUGACCACACAGCCCAAAUAACCAAUGCACAGUUUGAAUGAUGUACCACUUCCCCAUCAAUGUUAAGCAAAUAGAAUUCAAAAUAUAAAACAUCAGUGCAUUAAGAGCUCUGUUAGAUAAAUGAAGAAUGGAAUCGAAUGUACAAUACUUCAAAUGUUGAUGAUGUGGUCAAUUUCUUAACAAUGAUUGAAAUAUCCAUUUAUGAUACUUGUACACUGGUAUCAAGUAAUCUCCAGAAAACUCCAAAAAACAAGACAUUCCCAGUUAAAGAAGCCAUUAAUCUCAAGACAUAAUACUCUACAUGUCUUAGACAUUAAUGGAGUUAACCACAUGCUUUACCAACACCUGAGAGUACUUCUGAAUCACUUGAUUCUGGGUCAGAGUUAACAUUAUUUGUUGUUUUAUUAGUGUUGGGUACCCUUGCUGAGUUGGUGGGGAUACUUUCUUUGCACACAACAGCUUAUUUUGGGCUAAAGCUAGCAUAUCGGAUAUAAAAGGUAUCUACUCCAUGCUAAUGGGUAAAUUCGGUACAUAAGAGGUUGAGGAUUUGGUUGAAUCUCCAUGGAAGGCUGGGCCUGCUAUGCAAAAAAUUCCUGUUGCAACUAAUUUAGUUAUUGUAGACACUUGAGAAUUUUUUAAUACAUUUAUUCUUGCGAUUUGAAUUUGUUUUGAUACGAAGAAUGCUGCAACAAAUCUUUGACGCAAGUUCCUUGAGUUGUUGUCACAUUCAGUUUAGCCUGUGAUGAGAUCAAGUUGUAGUCCACAGGAAGUGACAUCAUUAUGUGUUGAUUGUGAGUUAAUAUUACAGGUUGAGUAUGCAGCUGAAACACUUGAGGAUGACUAAUUUAAGUCUGGCUACUUUUAUAGGCAAAAUUGUUUUGUUCAUAUACAGAUUUUGCUGGAGCAAGUUGAGCUGCUGUUGUUGAAAAGUAUAAUAAGCAUUUCCUGUUGAGUUUGAUAGCUAUUAAGUGAUUUUGGAUGAUGUUGCGCAAGACCUGGACUCUGGCUUGUCAAUGGAGGAUUGAGUACAGCAUAUCUUGGAGGAACUUCUACAGAAGAAGAAAGGUUGACUAGCAGCAACUUGUAAGGUCUUAAAAUUAGCAGCAUCCUGAUGUACUUAGAAGCCUAUAUGAAUUCGAAGAGGACACACUGUAUUCUAAAAUAGCAUUUCCCAUAUGGAUUUUUCCUUGCUGUGUCAUGUUGUCCAAAGUCAAUUUUUUAUGGAAUCCCAAUCUUCUUGCUUUUCUUAGGUUUAGAAUGAUGAAUAUGGAAGUGGCGACUACUAAUGGUAAAGAGGAAUGAGCUGAAAAAUCCACAUCAAGUUCAGUACAGCUAAUACACUCUCACCAGACUUUAUAUUGCUGGACAUGCCAGAGGGUACACUACUGGAUUAGAGACAACUAUUGAACACUGCUGUACUUAAUUAAUAUCAUUGUAUAUUUUUCAGGUUUAGAAUGAUGAAUAUGGAAGUGGCGACUACUAAUGGUAAAGAGGAAUGGGCUGAAAAAUCCACAUCAAGUUCAGAAUGAAGAAUAUGGAAGUGACGGAAACCAACUGUAAAGAAGAAUGAGCUGAAAAAUCUACAUCAAGUUCUGCUCACCGUCAAAGCAACGAUACAGACUGAAAAAUAGUAUAUCUGCUUAAGCAUAUUUUUUAUAAUUAAACAACUGUUUUUAUUCGGCAAGAACCAUCGGUGAUCUCCAAUCCAAUCAUGCGUCAACGAUAGCCCACCCGGUCUGUCAAAGUGUCAGAAUUAAACACAACACAUCUAAUUAGUCACUAAACAUCAGCAUACGUAUGUUUGGACAACAUGUUACUGCAAGAAAACAUGUAAAUGGGAAGUGCCAAAUCGGAAUACAGUGAUCCUCUCCAAAUUCCUACAGACUUCCAGGUCGCCUGCUUAGAGGCAAUGCUAAGCCUUGAAACCUGCUGCAAGCCAACCUCUCUUCUUCUGCAGGCGUUCCUCCAGGAUAUGACGUACUCAAUCCUUCAAUGACAAGCCAGAUUCAGGUCUUGAGCAAUAUCACCCUAGAUCAACUAAUGGCCAUCAAACUCAUUAGGAAAAAGUCAUUAAUGCAUUUCCAACAUCAGCAUGCUCAACUGAAGUGUUUCAGCAUCAAACUUAACCUGUAAUAUUAACUCACAAUCUGCACUUAAUUAUUUCACUUCCUGUGAACCACAACUUGAUCUAAUCCCAGGCUAAACCGAAUGUGACAACAACUCAAGGAACUUCCGUCAAAGUUUCGUUGCAGCAUUCUUCGUAUCAAAACAAAUUCAAAUCGCAAGAAUAAAUGUAUUAAAAAAUUCUCAAGUGUCUACAAUAACUAAAUUAGUUGCAACAGGAAUUUUUUUGCAUAGCAGGCCCAGCCUUCCAUGGAGAUUCAACCAAAUCUUCAACCUCUUAUGUACCGAAUUUACCCAUUAGCAUGGAGUAGAUACCUUUUAUAUCCGAUAUGCUAGCUUUAGCCCAAAAUAAGCUGUUGUGUGCAAAGAAAGUAUCCCCACCAACUCAGCAAGGGUACCCAACACUAAUAAAACAACAAAUAAUGUUAACUCUGACCCAGAAUCAAGUGAUUCAGAAGUACUCUCAGGUGUUGGUAAAGCAUGUGGUUAACUCCAUUAAUGUCUAAGACAUGUAGAGUAUUAUGUCUUGAGAUUAAUGGCUUCUUUAACUGGGAAUGUCUUGUUUUUUGGAGUUUUCUGGAGAUUACUUGAUACCAGUGUACAAGUAUCAUAAAUGGAUAUUUCAAUCAUUGUUAAGAAAUUGACCACAUCAUCAACAUUUGAAGUAUUGUACAUUCGAUUCCAUUCUUCAUUUAUCUAGCAGAGCUCUUAAUGCACUGAUGUUUUAUAUUUUGAAUUCUAUUUGCUUAACAUUGAUGGUGAAGUGGUGCAUCAUUUAAACUGUGCUUUGGUUAUAUGGGCUGUGUGGUCAGAUAUACCUGCUUCAACUAGUGAUGUUGUCUAUAGAAAUUGAGGAUUGAAACGUUAUCCUUGUGGCAGGAAUGAACAGUCUAUAAAGAACGUGUAUAUUUAGUCUCUCAUUUAAAAUAAACUUAUCCGUGCUAUGUGUCUUUAAGCUGUCUACAUUUACAUCACCUGUCAUGACGUUGAUAACAUUGAUGGUAAAAGUUGCUAUACAUAGUAUUUAUGAUGGCUGAUUUUAGUUAUCCUUUAUAAUAAUACUAUUAUGAAAACUAAAAUUGCAAGAUUAGAAAAAAACUUAUAAUCUAACGUACAUAAGAUUUUUUAUUCAUGUUACGUUACUUGUAGCCUAUUGACAAUAAUGUUUUAUUGUUAUUUUCAAAAAAUAAAAUAAUGAAUUGUUUUGAAA